AAGGUGCCUCUCACCACAGGACAUCAGGAGGCUGGGCGGCCCUGUCCAAACACAAACACGCUGGCAGUGGUGUCCCUACCUACACAGAUGUGAACACAAAGGAGAUUUUUCAGCUAAUAAGAUCCUCUGGUGUUUGUAGCACUAAGCAGGGGACAACUUCAGGAGAGGGCUCUGCUGGCGUCCCCAAACUCGCACUUGGAAUCAUAAUGGUGCUAUGAGACGAGCGAACACAGUAAGCUGGGGAGAUGAGUGAUUGCAUCUGAUGUUGGAGGACUGGAUCCUGCAGGAAGGUUAGGGGGGAACAUCCCCACGGUCACUGUUUGUUUGUUUACCUAACUUCAAAAUUCUCUCUGGAGCUGCUUAGACAAAGCCUGACUUAUCUUCCCAAAGAUGAAACACUGGAAACAGUCCUGACAAAACAACCUACUGAUAAGUCAGAAGAAGAAUUAAGAAUGUGGAACUGGAGAAGAACUAUAGUAAGUGAAGGAACUAAGUAAUAAUAAAUCCAAACCGUUGAGCACUGC